rnacentral:rRNA from 1 species
GAGUUUGAUCUUGGCUCAGAUUGAACGCUGGCGGCAUGCCUUACACAUGCAAGUCGAACGGCAGCACGGGAGCUUGCUCCUGGUGGCGAGUGGCGAACGGGUGAGUAAUGCAUCGGAACGUAUCCUGGAGUGGGGGAUAACGUAGCGAAAGUUACGCUAAUACCGCAUAUUCUGUGAGCAGGAAAGCGGGGGACCUUCGGGCCUCGCGCUCUUGGAGCGGCCGAUGUCGGAUUAGCUAGUUGGUGAGGUAAAGGCUCACCAAGGCGACGAUCCGUAGCAGGUCUGAGAGGAUGAUCUGCCACACUGGAACUGGGACACGGUCCAGACUCCUACGGGAGGCAGCAGUGGGAAUUUGGACAAUGGGGCAACCCUGAUCCAGCCAUGCCGCGUGAGUGAAGAAGGCCU